rnacentral:rRNA from 1 species
UACAGAGGUCUCAAGCGUUGUUCGGAUUCAUUGGGCGUAAAGGGUGCGUAGGCGGCGCGGUAAGUCGGGUGUGAAAUCUUGGAGCUUAACUCCGAAACUGCAUUCGAUACUGCCGUGCUUGAGGACUGGGAGAGGAGACUGGAAUUUACGGUGUAGCGGUGAAAUGCGUAGAUAUCGUAAGGAAGACCAGUGGCGAAGGCGGGUCUCUGGACAGUUCCUGACGCUGAAGGCACGAAGGCCCAGGGGAGCAAAACGGGG